GCGCCCUUAGCUCAGCUGGAUAGAGUGCGUCCCUCCGGAGGACGAGGUCAGAGGUUCGAAUCCUCUAGGGCGCGCCA
rnacentral:tRNA from 1 species